GACGAACGCUGGCGGCGUGCCUAACACAUGCAAGUCGAACGGAGAAUUUCAAUAAGUUUACUUAGAGAAAUUUUUAGUGGCGGACGGGUGAGUAACGCGUGGGUAACCUACCCAUAAACUCGGGACAACCCUUGGAACGAGGCUAAUACCGAAUAAUCUUAAGAAACGGCAUCGUUUUUUAAGGUAAAGGUGGCCUCUGUAUAUGCUACCGAUUAUGGAUGGACCCGCGUCUGAUUAGCUAGUUGGUGGGGUAAAGGCCUACCAAGGCGACGAUCAGUAGCCGGCCUGAGAGGGUGAACGGCCACACUGGGACUGAGACACGGCCCACGACUCCUACGGGAGGCAGCAGUGGGGAAUCUUCCGCAAUGGACGAAAGUCUGACGGAGCAACGCCGCGUGUAUGAUGAAGGU
rnacentral:rRNA from 1 species